AUUGAACGCUGGCGGCAGGCCUAACACAUGCAAGUCGAACGAGUGGCGGACGGGUGAGUAAUGUCUGGGAAACUGCCUGAUGGAGGGGGAUAACUACUGGAAACGGUAGCUAAUACCGCAUACCAUCGGAUGUGCCCCGAUGGGAUUAGCUAGGAGGUGGGGAAAAGGCUCACCUAGGCGACGAUCCCUCGCUGGUCUGAGAGGAUGACCAGCCACCCUGGAACUGAGACACGGUCCAGACUCCUACGGGAGGCAGCAGUGGGGAAUAUUGCACAAUGGGCGCAAGCCUGAUUCAGCAAGGCCGCGUGUAUGAAGAAGGCCUUCGGGUUGUAAAGUACUUUCAGCGGGGAGGCGUUACCCGCAGAAGAAGCACCGGCUAACUCCGGGCCAGCAGCCGCGGUAAUAC
rnacentral:rRNA from 1 species